AUUGCUCGUGUUUUCAUUACUAAAGAAACCACUUUACCCAUCAGUUUGAAGUAACCCGAAUAUGUGACUCAUGAGCAAAGAACUGCUUUUGGAACUUUAGAUUAUUAUCAAAGCGAACCCUAUGUAAAAUAACAGACAUAAGAAGACAUUUCAGUGAUAGAUGAGGUACACCUAUAUAGUUGAUAUAUUGUUAACCUUGCUUCUACUACAUCCUACGUAGUACGUACACAUAAACGUUUUUUUUUUUUUUUUUUUUUUUUU